ensembl:lncRNA
CAAAGAAAUAGCACAAUCCAGAGGCAUUGAGAGUUUACAUUUCCUUACAUUUGUUAAUGUAUUUUUGCACUUCUUUCUGUGUAAGAAGAUUGAAAUCCCUACCAGGGUAGUAUUGGCAUAAUAGAGUAAAAUCAGACAGUUGCAACAAAUCGUGGCCAUGGAAGAUUUAAAAGCAGAAAAUGGAUGUGGUUCGAAGUAAUGUAAUUACAGUUGACAGCGCGGUGUGUGUAGAAUUCAGAAAGUAUUCUUCUUCUUUAUGUUUGCAUGUGAGUCUGGUUCUGAGGCAAAAAGUUGCUCCUCUUUUCUAAUCUGGAUAACUAUCAGUGUUUUUAAUGAAGAAUAGAAAUGAAAGGGGUGGGAAAUGGAAGAGAUAGCAGAAUGGGGACAUCUUCUCACACACUGAAGAGUUGUACUGUUUUCCCUCAGGGAGAAUCCUAGAAUGGCCUGGGUUGCAAAGGACCACAGUGAUCAUCCAGUUCCAACCCCCUGCUAUGUGCAGGGUCGCCAACCAGCAGACCAGGCUGCCCAGAGCCACAUCCAGCCUGGCCUUGAAUGCCUGCAGGGAUGGGGCAUCCACAGUCUCCUUGGGCAAACCACUGUUAUGUCGUCAUGGACAUCCAAGUGAGUGCCAGCAUGCCCAGAUUUGGAGCUUAAGGGAAAGUUUGAAAGCAAACAGAGAUCGGUGCCAGAAGGGUGGUGUCAUGGAGGUGAUCCGGCCUUGCUGCUCAGGUCCCUGCAGGGCUGCGUUGCUGGGCUCGCUGUGUGCAUCACAAAUGGGGCUCCUCAGAGCCAGCUGAGUGCUGUCAGCAGUGGGAACCUUCUCACCUGCCUUCACCUGUUUAAAUUCAAGUCAGUGUUUCAUCUGGCUUUAGAAUCGCAGAACUGUUCAGUCUGGAAAAGCCCUGUGAGACCGCCAACCCACCCCCC